GGCCAGACACUGGGAGACAGCCCUCCCUCCUUGGCUUCCUUGAGAGUCUGUGCGUUCUCAGGCCUCCCAGUCGUGGCUCCUGCUCUACGCUCUCCUUGGGCUGCUGCUUUCCUCCUGGGCUGCCCGCCCAGCCCACCCCUGCUUGUCAUCUCAAGGGCCACUUCUCCUUGGAAGAGUCUCCUGACAACUCCCCCCCGACCCAGGGUGGGUUAGGGGCCCCUCCCUGGCUCACCCCGGGGUGACGUGACCACACUGUGUCCUAACGGUCUGUUUACCUGUUUACUUGCUGGCUUCCCCACCAUCCUCCUUUGCAUCUGGUCACUCCCUCCCUUCCAGGAUGGGUGCCCUCUCACCUCCACACUUCAUCCCCAUGGAGUAGUGCUGUGGCAUUUCUUGCUGUGGCAUUUCUCAGCUUGGGCCGCCCCCCUCCCCCACCAACUACCCCUCCCCUGCAAGUUUCCAUGUGGUUCUAGGUGUUUUCAUGGUUACAGGAACCCAAGAGUGGCCUCGGGCUCAGCAGGGCCCUUUCUCCUACUACACACCCAAGCUUGAUCAAUGUCCCCAAAGCUGCAACAAACAAGGAGGUGUGGGCCGUCACGUGGCCUUGAGUAACCACACUUUUGCUUCCUUCUUUUACACACGGCCGUUGGGGGUUGGAGCGGUCUGAGGCCACAGCAGAGGUGCCACAGCCGUGCUUGGCAGCACAGGCUGGGUCCUUGUUACUAAAGCAGAGAAGCCGCUUCUCCUGGGCCCACGAGGCAGCCAUCUCAUGCUCUGCUGAGCACGGUAAGUGCCAGCUUGCAAAAACCACAGGGAGUGGCUGGGUGGCAGGGUCUCCAGGGACCAGCAGACCUGCCUGACAGCCAAGGGCGGGCUGGGGGGCAACCCCGGGCAGAGCCUGAGCUGCAGCCCCUGGAAAGGACACCCCAAAGCCCUGGGCACUCGGGAUUGAGGUCUGCCUGGAGUUGGUAGCCUUAUUCUGCUGUUUCUUCCGGAUCCUGCUCUGCCUUUCCUGUCAGGUUUGCCAGCAGCUGCCGGUUUAGGGGCUACUCUGAAUUCACAAAACUGGAGAAAUCAGGAGCAUUUCCCUAAAAAUCAUCCUACUCCUUCGUUCAUGGUUGGGAAGCCAAAGCCCAGAGAGGUGAAGGGAUUUGCUCAGGCUAUGGAUCCAUAAAAAUAGUGUUUCCAAACUGUGUUCUUCACAUUCUUAUAGGAUUGAGAAAAUGAUGCUUGUCCACAGCAAAUUAUUAAAAUACUAGUUUUAAGAUACUACUGCUAGCAAAGGAGAAAAUAAUAAUGAUUAGAAUACUCUUAUUACUUUUGUAUCUGGGGUGCUUUAGGGGCAUAAAAGAGAAUGGUGGGGGGCUGGUAGCUAAAGCAGUGUCCCCUUACACACACACACACACACACACACACACACACACACACACACACACGCCCAUAGACAAGGAUCAGGGCAGGCAGGCUCUGGUCUCCUGGAAUUCUUUUUUCCUCAGGAGGUGGCUCCCCAGCCCCCGGGCAGGCCACACCCUACGUGGUAGAUGCCUCCCUCUCUGGGCUUGGCCAGCAGACGGGAGAUUGAAACUCAAUGGAAUGGGCUGGGAUGCCAGGCUGAGCAUUCCCUGGGAACCUAGGCCUUCAGAGGGGCCAGGGAAUCAUCUGAGAACCCUGCCCCCUUUUUACAAAUAAGAAAACCAAGGCUCAGAGGGGGGAAGCAGCAGCCCAUGGCAGCAUGGCUGGGAGGUGGCUGAGCUUGGACUUGUGGUGGCCCCAUCUGGCUGCAGGACCCUCGUGGAGCCCACAAAGACCCAAGGCCUCUGUCUCUCAGUCUCCUUUGCUGAGCUGGAGCAGGAAGACAGUGGGGGUGGCCUCUGGCUAGAAGGAAAUACGAUUGUUACCUGUUGUACUUCUUGAUGCAGGGUAGGCCACUAAGUCAAGAGACAGGGUGUUGGGGCAAGGAAUAGUGACUUUAUUUGGAAAGCCAGCAGACUGAGAAGAUGGCCCACUAGUGUCCCAAAGAACCUUCUUACCUGAGUUAGAAUUCAGGCUGCUUGUAUACUAAAAGGGGAGGAGGUGUGGCUGGUUGUUGCAAACUUCUUGGUGCUGGAAUCCUUUGUUCUUGCAGCUGUCCACAUAGUUCUGGUUGCAAUGUUCCUGUAAACCUCCAACAAGACGAUUGUUAUUUUCUGUUGUGCAACUUUUUAAUCUCUAUAUGAAUGGAAAAGUGUUAUACCUUUAAAGGUCAAGCCCGGGAAUAUUUCAAGCUAUAGAUGACAUUCUUUUACAAAGGUGCAGAGCCAGUAGGACUAAGCAGAGGCAACAGAGCACAAAGGUUAGAGCUAAAGGAAUAGAUCCAACAUGGAGUCAGGCUUGUUCUUCUCUGUUACAAUUUCCUAUUGUCAAUAUCCAUUCCACAAUCUUGCAGGAUAAGGGGCGACGACCACUCUGGCUACUUCCUGCUGAACGGGGGCAAGGAGGGGGUGAUGGUGGAAUGGAAUUUAUCAACUUGGAACUGGUAGUAUUCCCGAGUCCUAGGCUGGGUAUAAGCAGUUUGCAUUAUGAAGAUACUGCUCCCCCUUUUUAUGGCCCUGUCACAACACUUAGACAAGCACUUGAACAUAUAUAUAAACUCCAGCACUUGGGAUGAGGGCACCUAGGCUGCUCUGCCCUGAGCUGUCUUUGCAUAUUUCCCCUGUUGGCCAAACAGAUAGCUUUAUUAAAGCAUUUCCUUUCCAACAAGUACAAGUGAAAUGGGAGAGUAAAGUCAUUGUUACUUAUCUGGUAGGAUCUUAACAGCAACUUAAGAUCUUCUGAUGGCUUGCAAGUCCAAGUCUGCAGACCUACUGGCUACAGAUUCUCCUGCCUGGGCAGACACCUAUAAUGGCCUACCACCCAAUAUUUCAAAAGGGCUUAAUUUAAGCUUGCUUCUGGGAGCCGCUCUAAUCUGUCGCAGGGCGACUGGCAAGGCCUUAUCCCAAGGUAAAUGAGUAGUUUCCAAUCAAUAUGAUACCUGUUGGGUUAUACUUGUAGACAAAAGCAAGCCCAUUGUCACUUUGGCAUUAGGCAAUCCAAACUGAGGAAUAAUUUACCUUUCCUGGGGCACCAUCAGCCCACACUUCUCAUCUUACCUUUCUGUAGACCUCAGGGGGAUCAAGUUCUGUCUGUUUUUCUGAAUUUUCUAGGAGAGCCCUCUGUAGGUGUUAAAGCAUGUUCUGGUGGGACUCUGAUAUCAAGUUGUCCUGGUGAAAAAGUCACUUGAGCAUUCAGUUUACAGAGGCAAUCUUGGCCCAGGUUGGGGAUAGGGCAUUCAGGCAUGUACAAGAAACUACGUUUUAAUAUCAGAUCUCCUAAUUGACACUCCAAUGGUUUGAAAUAAAUUGUCAGCUCUGUACUUCCCCUGAUACCCCAGUGACUGGGGUAGACUGGGAUGUUCUCUGUGCCAACUUAGUGUUUAGCAUGGAAUACGUUACCCCUGUGUCUACCAGAAAGUCAAUCAGUUUUCUUCCCACUGUCAAUUUUACCUGGGGCUCCUGUGGGGAUAUUUGAAUUGAGUGUCAUAAAUCCAGAGGAGCCCCUGGGUCUCUUCAUUCAUCAUCUAAACAUUCUUCCCUCUCUACAUCUGAGAGGCCCCACUCCUUUCCUUUUUUAGCCCUCCUUUAAAAAAACAAUUUUUUUUAAUUGAAGUAUAGUUGAUUUACAAUGUUGUGUUAGUUUCAGGUAUACAGCACAGUGAUUCAGUUAUACAUAUAUUUAUAUCUAUUCUUUUUCAGAUUCUUUUCCCUUAUAUGUUAUUACAAAAUAGUGAGUAUAGUUCCCUGUGCUAUACAAUAGGUUCUUGUUUAUCUAUUUUAUUUAUAGUAGUGUGAAUAUGUUAAUCCCAAAAUCUUAAUUUAUCCCUCCCCCACCCCUUUCCCCUUUGGUAACCAUAAAUUUGUUUUCUAUGUCUGUGGGUCUAUUUUUGUUUUGUAAAUAAGUUAUUUUGUAUCUUGUUUUUGAGAUUCCACAAAUAAAUGAUAUCAUAUGA
ensembl:lncRNA